rnacentral:rRNA from 1 species
GAUGAACGCUGGCGGCGUGCCUAAUACAUGCAAGUCGAGCGAACAGACGAGGAGCUUGCUCCUCUGACGUUAGCGGCGGACGGGUGAGUAACACGUGGAUAACCUACCUAUAAGACUGGGAUAACUUCGGGAAACCGGAGCUAAUACCGGAUAAUAUAUUGAACCGCAUGGUUCAAUAGUGAAAGACGGUUUUGCUGUCACUUAUAGAUGGAUCCGCGCCGCAUUAGCUAGUUGGUAAGGUAACGGCUUACCAAGGCGACGAUGCGUAGCCGACCUGAGAGGGUGGUCGGCCCACAUGGGACUGGGGACCGGUCCAAAAUCCUAAGGGGGGCCGCAGGAGGGAAACUUUCGGCAAUGGGGGAAGCCUGACGGGGCAACGGCGCGUGGGUGAAGAAGGGCCUCGGGUCGGUAAACCUUUUUAUUAGGGAAGAACAAAUGUGUAAGUAACUAUGCACGUCUUGACGGUACCUAAUCAGAAAGCCACGGCUAACUACGUG